AUGAACGCUGGCGGCGUGCUUAACACAUGCAAGUCGAACGAACCUUCGGGUUAGUGGCGGACGGGUGAGUAACGCGUGAGAAUCUGCCCUCAGGAGGGGGACAACAGUUGGAAACGGCUGCUAAUACCCCAUAUGCCGCGAGGUGAAAUGAAUUUCGCCUGAGGAUGAGCUCGCGUCUGAUUAGCUAGUUGGUGUAGGUAAUGGCUCACCAAGGCAUCGAUCAGUAGCUGGUCUGAGAGGAUGAUCAGCCACACUGGGACUGAGACACGGCCCAGACUCCUACGGGAGGCAGCAGUGGGGAAUAUUGGACAAUGGGCGCAAGCCUGAUCCAGCAAUGCCGCGUGUGUGAAGAAGGCCUUAGGGUUGUAAAGCACUUUCAGUAGGGAAGAAAAGCACAGGUCUAAUACUCCUGUGUCUUGACGGUACCUACAGAAGAGGCACCGGCUAACUCCGUG
rnacentral:rRNA from 1 species